rnacentral:rRNA from 1 species
AUUGAACGCUGGCGGCAGGCCUAACACAUGCAAGUCGAGCGGAUGAAGGGAGCUUGCUCCUGGAUUCAGCGGCGGACGGGUGAGUAAUGCCUAGGAAUCUGCCUGGUUGUGGGGGAUAACGUCCGGAAACGGGCGCUAAUACCGCAUACGUCCUGAGGGAGAAAGUGGGGGAUCUUCGGACCUCACGCUAUCAGAUGAGCCUAGGUCGGAUUAGCUAGUUGGUGGGGUAAGGGCCUACCAAGGCGACGAUCCGUAACUGGUCUGAGAGGAUGAUCAGUCACACUGGAACUGAGACACGGUCAAGACUACUACGGGAGGCAGCAGUGGGGAAUAUUGGACAAUGGGCGAAAGCCUGAUCCAGCCAUGCCGCGUGUGUGAAGAAGGUCUUCGGAUUGUAAAGCACUUUAAGUUGGGAGGAAGGGCAGUAAGUUAAUACCUUGCUGUUUUGACGUUACCAACAGAAUAAGCACCGGCUAACUUCGUG